AGUGAACGCUGGCGGUAGGCCUAACACAUGCAAGUCGAACGGCAGCACAGUAAGAGCUUGCUCUUACGGGUGGCGAGUGGCGGACGGGUGAGGAAUACAUCGGAAUCUACUUUUUCGUGGGGGAUAACGUAGGGAAACUUACGCUAAUACCGCAUACGACCUACGGGUGAAAGCAGGGGAUCUUCGGACCUUGCGCGAUUGAAUGAGCCGAUGUCGGAUUAGCUAGUUGGCGGGGUAAAGGCCCACCAAGGCGACGAUCCGUAGCUGGUCUGAGAGGGUGAUCAGCCACACUGGAACUGAGACACGGUCCAGACUCCUACGGGAGGCAGCAGUGGGGAAUAGUGGACAAUGGGCGCAAGCCUGAUCCAGCCAUACCGCGUGGGUGAAGAAGGCCUUCGGGUUGUAAAGCCCUUUUGUUGGGAAAGAAAAGCAGCAGGUUAAUACCCCGCUGUUCUGACGGUACCCAAAGAAUAAGCACCGGCUAACUUCGUG
rnacentral:rRNA from 1 species